CCCGCUCCCGCCGGGCCGCUCCCCGCCGCCCUCCCUCCCCCGCGGGUGUUUGCCCAGCGGCGAGCGGGCCCUUCCAGCACUAUGUAUAAAAUGUCCCCACACAAGCUCACUGCAGACCUGCAAGACUGCUUCAUUCUCCCCCCUGUCUGCAGCCCACCCUUGUGGGCCAGUUUGAGGAUGCGCUUUCAUCCGCCCUCACGGAAGAGUUAGUUGGUACGAACGUCUUUGUGUGCGCGUGACACUCAUCCCCCUCUCGCCUCUGAUAACCUUCCUCCCUCCUCACCUGUCUGGCUACAGGUUCGGCCAAGAGUCUGGAGCUGAUUGCACCAGCUUCGCAGAGAGCAAUCAUCUGAGUUACAGACAGAGACGGACAGACUCCCAGGGCGGGAACAAACAACCUGCAAUUAAAACACACGUGCACGCAGCCCUUUGCAAGUGGCCAGCAGCCGUUUGGGGGCUCCCUUGUGUGGGGGCAGGGCUCCCAAAUCCGCCAGCUCCGAGGAGUGCUUAGGAGGGGAGGGUCAGGGCUUGCUGCGGCACUUUCUCUCUCUCCUCACCAGCGAGGAGGAAACUCACCUCUAUAAAUGCCCAAAUGGCAGGGUAUUAUCAAAUAAACAACUUUAUUUCAAUGAUCGGAGGAGGAGGAGGAGAAAAUUCAAUAAAGACUGCUAAUGCUAUCUCCAGCGACAUUAUCAGGCCUUGUAAGGCAAGGUGACGGCUCACCCUUUCUCCCUCUCAAAGACCUCGGAAUCCUUUUUCUUCUUAAAAUACCAUCCCUGAAAAAUGAGCUCAAUGGAUGAGUGCUAUUUUUAAGCCAGAUUGUCGCCUGUUUCAUGAGGGCGACAAAAGUCUCUGUGCGUGUGUACGUGUGUCUCAGGGUGUGUGGUGUGUCUGCACCAGAGGUAUUCAGCAGGAGAAAUGCCACACCUCAGCAUGACAAAGGGGUUUAUCGAGUGAUGGAGUGGUGGAGGUGGGAAGGAUUUUUGCAGAUCGGAACAUCUGAACAAAAUUACACGCACGCGAAUCAUCUUCCCCGAAUAUACACAGCAUUCCAGAUCCACCCGGCAUGGCAUGACCUCUGCCCUUGAGGGGCGGGGUGGAAAGCGGGGAGCUGUUUACUGAUGCGGCUGGGUGCGUGGUCUGUCUCCUUUCCUAACCCUAAUUAACAGCUUUACCCGACAGUGGUUUUCCGGAAUGCCAAUAAACAAUUACCCAGAGGUUACCAGGAUUUGGGGCACAAGGCCUUGGAGAGCAGGGUCCUGAGGCUCAGCGGAUGUCAUCUCCCUUUCCAGGCCUUUGUAACUCGCCUUGGAGAUUUCGGUUUCAGCUUAAGCCUGUCCAGUCCCCUCAGAUUCUGUCUGUGGCUUAAGCUGAGCCUGCUAAAGGGAGACAGAGGACAUCUGCUCGGGAUGGAGGACACCCUCUGGCAGCCCAGCAGCAGCUUUUAUUUUUAGCUCUAUGAACGCAUGUAUGUAUGCAUGUGAGAGGUGUACAGGCAGGAGAAAUAUCAAUGAGAGGGAGGUGCCGAAGAUGGCUUAUCUCAUGGGGCCAUCAGAUGGCACCGGGAGACAGGAAAUGCCGGCAGGCAACAUUUCAAUGAAGUCUUCUUGGAUUGAUGAAAAUGUCAGGCUAAGCGUGUUUUUAAAGAGUAGUGUAGGUGUGUUUUCAGAUGUGUGGCAAGGUGUGUGUAUGCAUAAAUUCAUGCAGGUGGGCACAUUCACAGAAACUUCGUAGUUUCUAUGUGGACUGCAUAAACUGUAUAGAGGAGAGGUGAUAAUGGUGCAUGUUUUUAAUGCUAAGCUGUAUAUAUGGUGGCUUGGUGCUAUUGCGUCUGAAGUUGAGACCACGGCAGGCUCAUUCAUGAUCCUGGACAACUUUCAGCAAACCUUGAAUAAGAUAGAGCUAGAAAGGGUAGAAAUGAGCUCAGGCUAUGCACAUUUUAACUAUGAGAGCAGGAACCAACAUUACACUAAUCUAACCUCAGCUUGGUGGACUCAAUGUCUCUGCUCUUCCCUCCCAGAAGAGGGCGCCUGUCUGCCUUGUUCCUGUCUUGCUACAGUAAUCAAAGAGGACUGCUUAGAUCAAAUAAGCAAGGCUAGGCAGCUCAGCAGAAACAUUUGCAGAAAGUUAAUCCUCCAUAGCCAGCAUCUCCAUCUUUCCUACUUCUCAGCCAGGCCCCUUGGUGCAUGUCCAGGCUGG